AUCUGGGAUGUAAUACUUGAAUCUCAGGAAGAAGUAAGAAGAUUUGCAGAUGCACUAAUACUUGUUGCAAAAUUUUAUAAAUUCGAUUUUAUAAGUCUGGUUAUUAAAUAUUGAAAAUACCAUUAAAAAGAUUUCUUUUUAAACUGCGAUGGCAUUUACUUGAAUUAUAACUGGACGAAAUCAAAAUUGGAAAACGGUUUGGCACUUGCAAAAAAUCACAGCAGAGAUAUUCAUGAUAUUUAUGUAGGACUUGAUAUUUGGGGAAGAUGUUGUCCUGGUUGUGGUGGAUUUAAUUCAACAUAUGCUUUACAAAAAAUACGACACGAAGGACUUUCUGUCGCGCUUUUUGGUCCAGGUUGGACUCACGAAUUUUUCGGAUCUAAGACAUUCGAAGAAAUAGAAGAUCUAUUUUGGGCACAGUUGUUUCCUUGUUUAUAGCAAACGGAAGUCAACACGAACCAAUACUAGUUCUCGGCAAUAAUACUGGCUUAAAAUUCAUCGUUCAUUAUAAAUCAAGGGAGUUGGUUGCCAACUGGAA